rnacentral:lncRNA from 1 species
GACACUAAGUUGCUUUUCUUAAACCUCUUGAGUUUUCUUCUCAAUUUUCUCAAUAUUAAGGAGUCAAUUCCUCAUAGUCACCCAACUUAGUGAAAUGUUACUUAGUCUUGCUAAAGAAACAGAUACAUCAGGCACGACUUGGGAACUUGUGGUGAUGCCACGAUAUAUGACAACUAAGGACGUUAUGAGUUGUGACAGGGUCAGCAACUUUCAAGAUGGACAUUU